rnacentral:rRNA from 1 species
ACGGCAUCCUAAAUCCGAAUACAUAAUGACCUAGAAGACAAGAUGACCAAUUUACUUUUUUAAUCCAAGAAGGAAACUGGACCAGAUACAGGUUUGGGUGAGAUAUGGCCCCUCCAAGCCUAUGAAACCCGGGUUCGGUUUAAAAAAAGGUACCCGGAAAUGAGUCCUUGAGACAGGGUUCCCAGGUCCCUAAUGGGCACAAGUUAGACGAGAACAACCCUUCCCCAAUGCGCGAAAACUCGACCAGAGUUUCAGUCCGAGUGAUUUCCCGCUAACAGAGAGGUCUUUUUGUCGUCCAGUAAAAAGCGCUCGACGAAUAAAGGGGAUGGGCAAGUUUCUGGUUUUCACGCCGCCCGCGGUAAGACCACUCCUACGAGUGGUCAGGGGCGAUUAAUUGGCCUAAAGCAUCCGUACCGGCUCCUUAGGUUUCCUGUUAAAUCCACCCGCUCUAACGUAUGGCCUGCAGGAGAUACCGCUCAGCUAGGGAGUGGGAGAGGUAGACGGUACUCGAUAGGAAGGGGUAAAAAUCCUUUGAUCUAUUGAUGACCACCUGUGGCGAAGGCGGUCUACCAGAACACGUUCGACGGUGAGGGAUGAAAGCUGGGGGAGCAAACCGGAUUAGAUACCCGGGUAGUCCCAGCUGUAAACGAUGCAGAGCUCGGUGAUGCAUUGGCUUAUGGCCAGUGCAGUGCCGCAGGGAAGCCGUUAAGUUUGCCGCCUGGGAAGUACGUACGCAAGUAUGAAACUUAAAGGAAUUGGCGGGGGAGCGCCACAAGGGGUGAAGCCUGCGGUUCA